GUACGGGUGGUUUUGGCUUCCACCCAUUUAGAGACAUAAUCAACUGCAAGUAAAAUGUAUAGGAAACCAAAAGAUGAGAGAAAAGUACUCAUAAAAUCUAUCCCCCAAACAUAAAAAAUUUCAACAAAUAACAUGGGGGCUUGAAGCAUUUGAUCCUUACGAAAAAUAUUUUUCACCCUUUGACACCUAUCACAGAAUUUGCAAAAUAAGUACGAAUCUUUAAAAAGGGUGGGCUAGUAAAAAUCACUCUCUAACACUUUGCGAGCUAUUCGCUUGAGUCCAAAAUGCCCUCCACAAGCAAACGAAUGACAGAAAUUUAAAAUAGAGUGAAAUUCACCUGUACUUACACACUUUCUUAGCACUUGAUCCGAACAUUGUCUCCAAAGGUAGGGGUCGUCCCAAAUGUAGUAUUUGGCAUCACUCUUCAAUUUAUCUCUCCUAACAUUUGGCCACCCUGCAGGCAAUUGAUUAGUCACUAAAAAAUUUACUAUAUCGGCGUACCAGGGUGUAGACGAAUCAACGGCAAGAAGUUGCUCCUCUGGGAAUGUCUCCCUCAAUGGUUGUUCUUCCUUAUGUGUCAGCAAACGGCUCAAAUGAUUGGCAACCAAAUUCUCUACCCCACUUUUAUCUUUUAUCUCCAAGUUGAACUCUUGCAGGAGUAGGAUCCAUCUGAUAAGUCUCGAUUUUGCAUCCUUCUUUGUCAUCAAAUAUCUCAAGACUGCAUGAUCAGAGAAAAUUGUUACUUUUGCACCUAACAAAUAAGGUCUAAAUUUUUCUAAUGCAAAAACCACAGUUAGUAAUUCUUUCUCUGUUGUAGAAUAGUUGAGUUGACCUCCAUUCAACGCAUUUGAUGCAUAAUAGACUGCAUGAGCCGCCCUGCCAAUUCUUUGCCCCAACACAGCUCCCACUGCGUAGUCACUCGCGUCACACAUAAUUUCAAAUGGGAGGCUCCAGUCUGGAGGUUGAAUGACGGGCGGUGAUGUUAACGACUCCUUCAAUUUGUCAAAUGCCAUCUUGCACUCCUCGGUGAAGUCAAAUGUUACAUCCUUCUACAACAGUUUGAACAGGGGCACUCUAAUUUUGGAGAAAUCUUUGAUGAAUCUCCUGUAGAACCCUGCAUGACCAAAAAAGGAGCGUACUUUUCGUACACUUACGGGGUAAGGUAAAGCAGAAAUAAUAUCGACUUUUGCUUCAUCUAUUUCUAUUCUCCUAGUCGACACUACAUGCCCUAAGACAAUACCAUACUCCACCAUAAAAUGAUAUUUUUUUCAAUUAAGUACCAAAUUUGUUUCUAUGCAUCUUUUUAAAAUCAAAUCUAAGUUAUCAAGGCAUUCAUCAAAACUAUCCCCAUACACACUAAAAUCAUCCAUAAAUACCUCAGUAAUCUUUUCUACAUACUCAUAAAAUAUACUUACCAUAUACCUCUGAAAAGUCGCCGGAGCAUUGCAAAGGUCGAAAGGCAUCCUCCGAUAGGCAAACGCGCCAAAUGGGCAGGUGAAUGUAGUUUUCUCCUGGUCCUUCGGUACUAUCGCGAUCUGGAAAUAAUCCGAAAAAUCAUCAAAAAACAGUAAUAGACACGACCAGCUAACAUUUCUAUCAUCUGAUCAAUAAAUGGGAGAGGAAAGUGGUCCUUCUUUGUCACAGCAUUCAGACUCCGGUAAUCAAUGCACUGACGCCAUCCUGUGGGUUUCCUCACUGGGACUAUCUCGCCCUCCUGGUUCUCUUUUACGGUUACUUCUGCCUUUUUCGGGACUAUUUGGACUGGGCUCACCUACGGACUGUCUGAGAUGGCGAAAAUGAUCCCCACUUCCAAGAGUUUAAAUAUUUCCUUCUUUAUCACUUCCAUCAUUAGUGGGUUCAAUCUCCGUUGCGCAUGUCUUACCUAUUUUCCAUCAUCUUCAAGCUGGAUCUGAUGCAUGCAUAAGGAGGGCUAACUCCCUUGAUAUCUGUUAUGUUCCACCCAAUCGCCUCCUUAUGAUUUCGAAGAAGACGAAUCAGGUUGUCUUCUUGUCUUGGUGACAGAUGUGCAGAUAUGAUGACCGGCAGUGUCUCUUUGUCCCCGAGAAAAGCAUACUUCAAAUGCUUUGGGAGAGGCUUGAGCUCCAAUUCAGGUGCGUGCACAAUAGAAUGCAACAAUUUCGCCAGAAUUUCUGGUACAAAAAGAGAAGUAAGCUCAUAUCUUGGAGAAAUUGGUGGAAGCGAAUGCAGUGCUUCAACUGCACGAUAUAACUCAUCACUUAAUCCUGCAUCAGGAGUUGCUCCCAACUCGAGAUACUUGGCUAAUGCCACUGCCAGUGCAUCGUCCCCAUCCAAUUCAAACGUUUUCUGCACAAGGGGCUCAAUAACACUUAAAACAAAAAUGGAGUUAGCCUCAUCCAGGUACUUCAUUGCAUCAAAAAUAUUAAAAUUUACAAUUUCUCCAUCAAACUCCAUUGAUAAGGUACCCUCAUUUACAUCUAUUUUCGUCCUAGUAGUGCUUAAAAUGGCCUACCUAACAAAAUAGGUGACAGAUGUAGUGCCCUUUCAUCCCCCAUGUCUAGGACAUAGAAAUCUGCAGGAAAAACUAACUCAUUGACCUGUACCAAAAUAUUUUCAACUAACCCUUCUGGAUAAGCAUUGGUACGGUCUGCAAGUUGGAUUAUAAUGCCUGUGCCUUUUAGUGGGCCAAGAUUAAGAGAAGCAUAAAUUGUUUUAGGCAUAACAUUAAUUGAUACCCUCAAAUCCAACAUCGUUUUCCUAAUUGGGGUACCUCCUAUCUUGCAGGGAAUGGUGAAUAUACCUAGGUCUCCACAUUUUGGUAGGAGUUUCCUUUGAAGCAUAGCUGAUACAUUUUCUCCCACCGCCACUCUUUCGUCACCCUUCAACUUCCUCUUGUGGGUGCACAAAUCCUUCAAAAACUUGGCAUACUUAGAUAUCUGCUUGAUUGCAUCCAGUAAGGGAAUGUUAAUCCCCAUUUUUUGGAACACAUCCAAAAGCUCUUUUUUCUUCUCUACUUUCUUUGUCUUCUCUAACCUGCAAGGAAAGGGGGGGUAAGUUAGAUUUAAUAGUGGGUGGAGAAGUGAAGGUUACCUUAUGAUCCUUGCGAAUACGUCAUUCCUCUUCAAUUUUCUUUUCUAUCUCCUUCUCACUUUUGCUUUUUGAAUUUUCCACUUUAGCCCCUUCCAGUUCCUUGCCACUCCUUCAGUGUCAUGACACUUACAUUUUUGGGAUUUAUCUCGGGUUGAGAUGGUAAUUUUUCAUGGACGUGGGACUGCAGGCGAUUGAUGGCAGUUCCCAAUUGGCUUAUUCGAGUAUCCAUAUCUUUCAUGUCUGCUCUGGUGUCCUGCUGGAACUGAGUGGUACUCAUGGUUAAGGCUCUAGUUUCUUGCUGGAGUUGGGCCAUAUUCGUGGUCAAUGACCUGGUCUCCUGCUGGAGCUGAGUAGUAGUCAUGGCCAGACUCUUGACAAUAUCCUCCAGAGAGCUACCUGAAUUGGCGGACGAAGGUUGAGGCUUUUGCUGCCAUGGUUGCUGAAACCCUGGUGGACGAUUUGAAAGUGAAUUUGGUUGCCUGUUCCCAUAACUAAGGUUGGGUGGUCCCUCCAACUCGGAUUGUAUGUAUUGGAGUACGAGUUAUACUGCCUGCGUGGCGCGAGCACGCUUCCUACCAUGUUUACCUGUUUCGCCCCGUUCUCUUGUAAAAAGGGGCACGUGUCCGUGCAGUGGUCCAUACUAGUGCAGAUUUCACACACCUUCACUCGUGGUGUGUUCCCCAUGGCUAAUUGCCUAACAGCGGACGUCAACUCUGACAAUUGUUGCUGAAUGGAUGACGUCUCUAUCUCAUUGACCCUACGAGUGGGGUUAAUCUCACGGUAGUCAAACUACUGAGAGUUCUCUGCCAUGACUUCAAUAAGCUCCCACGCCUCCUUCGAUGCCUUGUUCGUCAAGGUUCCUUCACUCGCAGCAUCAAUGAUACUCCUGUCAGUUGACUGGAGCCCUUCAUAGAAGUACUGGAUCAAUAGUUGCUCACUAAUUUGAUGUUGCAGACAUCUAGUGCAUAACUUGUUAAACCUUUCCCAAUAGUCGUAUAAGGACUCCCCGGAGUACUGCUUGAAGCUGCAUAUUUCCUUUCUCAAACUCGCAACCCGGGAUACGGGGAAGAAUUUUUCUAGAAAUUUCUUUUUCAAUUGUGCCCACGUGGUGAUACUACCAGCAGGGAGAUGGUAUAGCCAAUCCUUCGCUGCAUCCUUGAGAGAAAAGGGGAAAGUUCUAAGUCUUAUUUGCUCCUCAGUGACCCCAAGAGGUUUCAUAUUAGAGCAAACUAUCUCGAACUCCUUGACAUGUUUGUGGGGUUUUUCACCAGAAAGACCAUGGAACGAAUGUAGGAGGUGAAUCAACCCCGACUUCAGCUCGAAAGCGGUAUUCUCAGCCAAAGUGGGGAAUGUGAUGCACAAGGGCUGGUGAGUCAACUCCGGGGCAGCCAACUUCCUUAGUGAUUGGGUGUUGGCCAUGCUAAAUUCGUCUUCUGCUGGCUCGUUUGCAGUAGAUAAGUGCCCUUCUUUUCGUCUCUUGAUCUCUUGCCUUCGCCCACGCGCUGCCUUCUUAACCUCAGGAUCGUAUACCAAUUCACCUGUGCGAGAAGAAUGGGGCAUAAACUAGCAAAAAUAUCAAGAAGAAAAAGAAAAAAAACUGAACUCAAAAAGAAAUAAAUAUUUCAAAUGACAGUCCCCGACAACGGCGCCAAAAAUUGACAGGUGCCGAACCUGUGCAAUAAUAAUAAAUAAAAUCUAAGUACCACCUAAAGCAGUCAAUAAUCAAUUCUAGUACUGAAGCAGGGACUCUAGGUGUGCAAUGGGUUACUUGAUUCACCCUGUUCCUGAAGAGUUUGCUUAAUCCAAUAUACAUGAAUUAAUUAUUUAACUGAACUCACAAACAAAUAGACAGUGGUAAGCAUGGUCGUCUCCUCAGGGACUGGAGAAAAAUUUAUUUCUUACCAAGUCAAGAUUAAUGGGAGGUUUUGAGAUUAAAUGCUAAUUAAACAAAUUAAAUGCAGAAAAUAAUUAAAUAAAAGAAAUAAUUAAGAGAAACUCUAGCCAAGGGUAUACUUCAGAAAUGGUUCGUACACUGAUCAUCGAUUCACAGAUAAUUCCAACAUUUAGUAAUAGAUUAGUUAUAGUUGUCAUGCACGCGAUAAACAACCAACCCUUCCUUAAUUUCUCGAUAGCCAAGGUACGACCGUUAGCUAUUUUUUUAACUCAUAAACAACCCUAGAUACGACCGUAGAAUUAAAUUUUUAGAUUGCAUUAAUAAUUAGAAAGGUCCAAUCCUAACCAACAAACACGCUACGAGAGUUCGUUUAAGUUAGAUCAUAUGCUCCCCUGACAUAAAUCUGAUUACGCCAGUUGCUACUAAGAUAGAGAUAACGAACAAUUACGGAUUCAAUUACCCCUAUUUAGCAAAAAUAGCCUAUAUGGAUAAUUAAUUAUUGCGCACUAAUCAAUCAUACACAAGUUCAUAGCAAUUAAAAGUAAGGAACAUAUAAAUAUCAAUAAAUGAAGAAAAUAAUUAAAAGCAGCUUAUAUCUCACAGUAGUUGUUGAACCAAUUCGUCAAUUGCCCCCUUGAUUAGAAUUAGGGAUUUAGUUCCCCAUAAUUAAUGUACAGGCCAUGCGGACAAGGUUGGAAGAAGCCAUCGAUUCCUUAAUCAAAGCGAACGAAAGAAAUUGCCCCUCGUUAAUUCCGGUCAACCGAAGAAAGAAAGGGGACAAUCGAUUAUGGUGGUUUUCAAUUGUUCUCCUAAGCUAACCGUAUAGAGAGUGCACACUUUCAAUUUUCUUCAGUCAAGGCCAGGGUGAAAAGCAAUGUCAAAAGUCCACAGUUGCAGCUCCUCUUAGCUUUCUUUCUUUCCUCACAAGACAUACGAGAGAUUGGGUUUCAAUCAAUUGAUUUCUCCAAAUCAAUUCACACAAGAUAGAAAAGCCAGAAUACAAAGUCAACAAUUGCGGCCUUCUUGUCUCUUUUUUUCCCCGUUACAAAGCCACGGCCAGCCCCCUUUUUUUAAGAACAAAGGGAACGAAAAAGGAAGAAAACCUAAACCAGACAAGAGGUAAAAAAAUUGUUUUCAGCCAGCCCGCUCUCUGGAGUCUAAUACCUUCCCCUAUCCGACCUUCCAGGAGGGGCUUUUUUUUUUCUCCUCUCGAGAAGUGGUCUUUUACAAAAUUAAAACGAGACUCUCUAAAAUAAAAUAAAAUAAAGUCUAUUACAAUCAAAUUUUCUCAGCUUCUCAAGGGGGCCCCACGUGCGACAAAUCUUCGAAAUUUUGACUUUAAGUACUUUUUAGCAUCAAUUCCUGUAAUUAGUAUCAAAACAAAAUAUCAGUAGAAUCCACCCAAUUAAUGAAAAUAUUUAGUCAGAUAAACAUGCAUUAAUGCCCAAAAUACCCCGCUAAAACGCACCCUAUCAUUAUUGCGGGAAAACUCAGCGUCAACGUUGGUGGACCGACAAGAAACAAUGGGCACACUCGAUGUCAAUUUCGGUGAUUUUUUUUUUGGUUUUAUUGGAAAAAUAAACGUUUAUGUGGUUUUAGCUCAAGUUAUCACUAUGGCUCACGACAUCCCCGAUCAGUUACUGAACAUCUAUAUAUUGUACAUUGUUCAUUGUAAAAUAUGUAAUCGAAAAUAAUUGCCUUGUUUGGCAGACAAGUUUUUCUGCUACAAGUUUUUUAAAAACUUUAAUUAUAGUAACUUCAAAAAAAUUUUCAAAAUUUUUAAAUUAUACACUUCAAAAUAUUCAAAAAAAAACACACUUCCAAAAUUUUUUAAAAAACUUUUACAGUAAAUUAUAGUAAAGUUUUAGACAAACACCUAAAAAACUUAUUUGCCAAACAGGGUCUAAGAGUGGUGCAAAUUAGGAAGGAUUUCCGCAACGAAUGUUGUCUGUAUUCGUUAACAUACCGAUAUUUCACUCAAUCUAUCAUAUAUAUAUAUACACACACCAAUAAUAAUUAUUUUUUCUUACAUUUAUAAAUUUUUUAAAAUUAAUCUCCUUAUAUAUAUUAAUUAAUUUUAUAUUUUUAAAAUUUUAACACUUGAAAUAUAUUUUAAUGCAUGCCCACAAGACACUCGCUAAACAAAUCGAAUUAGAAAAUCACGGCCAAGUGAGUCAGGCAGGCAAAUGAUCUCAUUCGUCUAAGUGUGUUGCUAUUUGAUCACAUAUAGGUCCCAUUUGGCAAGUGAGUUUUUUGGAUGUUUAUCUAAAAUUGUAUUGUAAUUUACUGUAGAAGUUGUAGAAAAAAUUUUUGAAGUGUAUAAACAUAUGGAUAUUUCGAAGUAUAUGGUUUAAAAAAUUUGAGAAGUUUUUUAAAAUUAUUAUAGUUAAAAUUAUUUAAAAACUUGUAGCAGAUAAACUUGAUAAAAAACUUGCUUAAUAUCUUCAUAUAACUGUGAUUUUAGUGCAUAAUCUACGAAAAUUUUCCUUUCCUAUUCUAUCUUUUGUCCCUGCUGACCUCGGGUCCUGACUGCCAUUGUUCAACCUUCACUUUAUUCAAUUAGUACCCUCAAAAUUAACUUCCAAGUUCCAGCAGGUGGAAAAAUUUCUAAGAUGGAAUUUAGGUCCCCCACAUUCAAAGGUUUAUUACUACUACACACCCAUAAAUGUCAUGCAAUAAUUUCACUCUGCUUCUAUAGGCCCACCAAGUUCAUUGAAUUAUUGUACUACUACCCAGCCAGGAAAGUCAUGAUCAAUUUCACUCUAGUUUCUCCUCUAAGUAGUCCCAUCUCCCUUGCUAAAAAUCUUGCACUUGCAAAAUAACUGGCCAAACAGUCCAAUGCAAACUACAUCUGAUUAAUUGUAACUCUCUAACUCAAGCAGUAUGAACUAAUCAACUCUGUACUAAUAUGAAUGGAGAAACUUUUUCUUGUUGCGGUCAAUUUUAAACAGCAUAUAUAACUUUGCAAUUAAGGCUAAAGAUUAGACUGAAAAAAGAAAUAGUGGGCAUACUCAGUGUCUUGUCCAUUAAAUUUUUUUUGGUAAAAUAAAUAUUUAAAUGGUUUUAACGCUAAUAACCACCACAAGUCAAGACACGUCCCAAAAUCAUACAUUUAGGGAUGGCAAUGGGACAGGUUUGAGGUGGAGGAAUCCUCACUCAUCCCCCAUCCCGACUAACCUCGUUACCCUCGCAGGUGCACCUGUCCUGCCCCAAUGCCAUUUUUAGUUUUUAUUUAGUCUUAUUUUUUCUCUUUAUAUAUAUAUAUAUAUAUAUAUAUAAUGCUAGUAAUAAUUUUAUUGAUCAUUCUUUUUAAUUUUUAGCAAAAAAUCCAGCAAUCGCCGUGAAAAGUAUGGAUGUCAGGUUCUUUAAAGAAGCAUCGAUGUCCAUGAUGUUGAAUUAGUGCUUAUUGAGUUAGUUGUUGAAAAGGAACACAGCGAAAUGACUCAUUCUCUGAAAGCUUUCAAUGGUUGAAUGUUAUCCAUCAACUUCUGUUUCAGAACUCAGAACAAUGUGAUUCAAAUUAGAUUAGGCAAGCAUUUGAGGAUGAAAUCCAUAAGUUUGUUAGAGUUUUAGUUAACUGCAUUUAAUUUGAUCCGAGAAAAGGUCAUCCAUGCUAAAAAGUGUACAAAAUGUUGAGCUAAAGAUGUGUCUUCGCAAAUGAUUCAGGACUGGUGGGAAUUUGAAUAUGGCUUUCCCAGCAUGGAUGAUUUUUCCUUUUGUUGAUCUUCAGAACAGUGUUUCCAUAUCCACUUAUUGGGAUACUUAUAACGUUUAGAUAUAAGAAUACCAUUUAUAAUACUGAUAACGAGACAUAAUGGAAGCCCAAUACUCCCCACGAACUACGGGCGCAUGCACGAAUUGAUCUUUUAACUUGUCUGCAUAAUAACUAGUGAACGUAGAUGGGUUAAGUGCGCACAAUUCCGUUAUGUUUUGCAGGUAGUGGCAUUUGAACACAGAAAAUCAACAUAUUUUAGGGUUUGUUUGCUUGGAUGUAAAAUCUUUUCAUGGGAAAAAUAUUUCAUUGAAAAUCAUUUUCGGUUGAACAUUUUUUUUUUUUAUAAUUAUUUUCAGAUCUUUGAUUCCCUUCCUGAAAAUUUUGGCUUCAUAUAUUACGCACUUUUCUCUUCAACUUGUACCGAUCUUCCACUCUAUUUUACCACUGCUUCCCACGUACCCAACUCCCAUUACACAACUAGUAUUUUGACCAGUGCUAAGCACGAAUUUAUAUUUAAUACAAUAAUAAUACUAAUAAUAAUAAAUAAAUUAUUUUUUAUUAAUUACACGAAAAAAAAGUUAAGAAAUCAAAAGAGUGCUACUUUUGUAUCUAAUUUUUAUUGUAUUUAUGUACCUUGUCUAAAACUUUAAAGUAUAUUAAAAAAUAUGAACAAAGAUCACAAAAAUACCUAAAGAAAUACUAAAAGUGCAUCAAACACAACAUUAUUAACCCCCCCCCCCCUCCAUGUGUCUUCCUCUUUGUGCCACUUUCUCUUAACAUUCCACUACUCUUCAUUACCCUCUUUCUUACCUUCUUAAUUCAAACUUCCCACAUUCCUCCAACUUUUUUCCCUCCCACAAACUCUACCUUCCCUUCACCCUACUCUGCUUUUUUCAAAUUGUGCAAUCUCUUACUAAUUUCGUAAUCUAUUUCCUGCCAUCCUAUUGUUCUUUCCACCCAUUUAUAGUUAUAAAUAGUGACCAAUUUUGCAACUUGUUCUUGAACAAAUGAGUUUGGGUAUGCCAUCUACUUAGGUUCAAAUGGAUAACCUAAUGACACCCAUUAAUUAGUGACUAUUAAAUGGAAGGAAUGGCAUCACUUAUUUAGAGCUAAUUAAAUUAGAUGUAGAUUCAAAUUCAAUCGUUAGUAAGUAAAUUUAAAUCACUACCAAUUCAAUAAUUAUACUCUACUUUUUGCAAAGGCAUAUUUAAUGUUCUUUUCCUAUUCUUUAAUUUUCAUUAUUUUAAUUUUUGUUAAAUUUCAUCCUACUUCCUCUCCCUUCCAUCAAAGUUUUAAUGAACUCCUUGAGUGUUAAUUGAUUUUAACAUUCACACCUAAAUUAUUUUUAGAUUCUUAUAGAGUGAUAAAAUUUGAAACUCCUUAUGAUCACCACUAUUGAUUCUUCCAUGUAAUUUGAGAAUUUUGGCAAAGUAAAAAAUGAAAAAGUUCCUGAGCCAUAUUUGAGAAAUUUCAACUUACUAGGUUAAUAAGUGUAAAUGCUGCUCUUACGAGGGAAUCAAGAAUGAUUGAACAAAAACAUUUCAACUUAAGUGUGUUUCGAUAGCUAUUAUUUGGCUUCAAAUUAUUUGUUUGCAUCACAAACAUAAUUUUCAAAAUACCUUUUUAUCUUUCCAAUCAAUUUUUUAUCUCGCAUACAUUACAUCACAAAAAGUGCUAUAGUAAUUAUUCCAAAUAAUAUUUCAAAUAAUCCCCUAUCCAAUAAGAAAAAAAUCAUAUAUUCAAUAAUUUUCAGCGCGAUCAUAUGGUUGUAACUACAAAUAACCUACCAUGAAAAUACCUAUUUUUAGCUUCAUUUCAUCAUGUGAAUUUCUCGUGAUUUCAUUUUAGCAUCCUUAUUUUUUAAUUAAAACAAUCUUGUGAAAAAGCUUCCUGUAUAAGCAAAAACAAAAGAAGAAUACACAAUGGCAAAUUUUAGUUCAUAGUUAGCUUCCAUGUUCGUGAAAAAUUUUCUAGGAUGGAUUCUAAAUUGUGUCCCCCAUGUUCAAAGUUUAUUACUACACAACCAAAAAAGUCAUGCAGUUAUUUCACUCUACUUUCUUAUGCCAUUGCUUGGAAAAAUGUAAUCUAUAGGUCCACCACAUUCAAUAAUUGUACUACUACACUGCUAGGAAACUCACAAGCAAUUUCGCAAGUCUACUUUCUUAUCAAUAGCAGUACCACUACUUUGUCUUCGUUAAUAGACCAUCUCCAUUGCCAAAAAACCUUGCAUACACAAAUGUUCAAUUUCAAACUCUCCAUAAAACAAAUAAAAAAGAAAAAAGUCAUUUACUUUUGGGAAUGGAAAAAAAUUAAAAAUGUUCCUGCAUCAUAUUCGAGAAAUUUCUACCGAUAAAUAGGUGUAAAUGCGGCUCUUAGAGGGAAUCAUAGAAUGAUUGAACAAAAACACAAUGGAAGUUAUUUCACUCCCAAAUAAGGUAUUUCACAUCUUCAACAAUUUUCAAUGGGAUCAUAUGGUUGUAACUACAAAUAGCCUACUAUAAAAAUGAUAUUGAAGAUGGCAUUCAAAAACUUUGACCCCGAUUGUGAUAUUUCGCAGAAAAAUUUUUAUGUUUUUCACGAACACAUUUUUCAAUUAUUUUUUUACCUCGCAUACGUCAAACUGUUACAAUAUACUUUUUUUUUUUUUUUGCAGAAACUCUUAAAAUAGCAAUCCAAACGGGCUAGAUUUUACUACUUGUGCUGACUCAUCUUGACAAUUAUUGGGUCAUAAACAAUUGUAAUCUAGUGCCAAAAUUUCAAUCUUCUCAACCAUUUCAAGAUAGCAAGAAAAUGCCCCGAAUUCUAUAUAUAUUACUUGUAUGAUUUUUGAGUAUGGGUUAAUUUAACAUGUCCUGGAAGUUAUUUUAACAUCUCCAUCUUUAACUUCAUUUCAUCUUGCGGGUUUCUCAUAAUUUUAUUUUAGUGUCUUUAUAUUCAACUUAAAAUAAUCUUGUGAAAAAAAGCUACAGUACAAGCAAAAACAAAAGAAGCAUGGUAAUUAUCAAACCUUCUCUUUUUCAAUUGGUACAUAUAAAGUUAACUUGCAAGUUCCAACCGGUAAGAUGAAAUCUAAUUUAGGUCCCCCAUAUUCAGAAGUUAGGUCAUGCAAUAAUUUGAGCCUGCCUCUAUAGGUCCAGCACGUUGAGUAAUUGUUCUACUAUCCAACCAGGAAAGUCACGGCCAAUUUCACCCCACUUUCUUAUCAAUUACGGUACUGCUCCUACUUUCUCCUCUAUAUGAUACUCCAUCUUCCUAGCUAAAAGCCUUGCACAUACUGCAUUGUUUUAAUUUUGAUUCAAAUUAUCAUCUUCCUCGCCCGUGUUCUCUUUUUCACCAAACUUGGAUUUGACAGGGUAGGUUCACGAUAAACAGGCACUUUUCCCAUAUUCAUCAGAUCAGCUAUUGCCAGAGAUUUUAUUUUCUCUCAAGUAAGUGCUGAGAUUUGUUCACUUUUCUUGAAGUUCAAGGCUUUUUUUUUUUUUUUUUUUUUUAUAAACAUAGCCUCACCAUAUAAGGGAAUAUCUGCAGAUUCAACGGAUCAACCGUUGCCGGAGUGUUCAUUCUCUCCAAAGUGAGUGCUGAAUUUUUUUUUCUUUUUUUUUCAUACACAUUUUUUGGUUGAAAUAUAAAUGGCUUCCAUGUGUUUAUGACAUUCAUUCUACUAGCAUACUUUCAUAUGUUGGCGACUAGCUUCCAAGGCUAGAAUUUUUGCUUCCUGCUAUUCUUGAAACUAACAAGAAGGGUAAAACACUCAAAAUUGUACAGUGCAAAUGUGCAAUAUGCAUCCCAUGUUCAAAACUCUCUAUUACUAGACAACCCUGAAAGGUCAUGCAGUUAUUUUUUCAUUCUACUUUAUUAUGCCAUUGCUUGGAAAAAUUCUAAUCUAUAGGUCCACCACAUUCAAUAAUUGUACUGCUACAAGGCUAGGAAACUCAUGACCAAUUUAACAGAUCUACUUUCUUUUCAACAACAAUACUACUCCUUUCUCCUCAAUAAUAGAUCGUCUCCAUUGCCAAAAAGCCUUGCAUAUACGAACAGUUUCUACAUUUUUUCUUAAACUUUACUUUUGAGUAAUUAAGUAGCCUCACGAUAUACUAGCAAUUUUCCCAAACUCAACAGAUCAGCUACUCCCAGUGGUUUCUUUCUUUCUUUUAUUUUACUCUCAAGUAAGUGCUUAAUUUUUUUUUCCCUCAAACUUAAAGGAAUUUUUAUUUUUCUAUUUUUUUUUUUUGACGUAGCCUCGCCAGUAUAAACGGAAUUUCUGCAAAUCCAACAGAUCAGCUUUUGCCAGAGUGUUCAUUCUCUCCAAAGUAAGUGCUGAAUUUCUUUUCUUUUUAUUAUUAUUAUUAUUAUACACAUUUUUGGUUGAAAUAUAUAUAUCUGGCUUCCAUGUGUUUUUGACAUUUAUUCUUCUGCUACUAUGUACUUUUAUACGUUGCCGAGUAGCUUCCAGGGCUGGGAAUUAGCUUCCUGUUAUUCUUGGUAGUAUAUCAUACUAGUUUGGAUGCACGUGCUUUGCGCAUAACCCGCGUUGUGUGGUAAUUUUCUUAUAUUGCGUGGUUUUUUUUAUUAUUUUUUUAAUGCUAAGCAAAUUUUAGAAUGAAAGCUUUUCCUUUUUUCUCCGUUAUGGGCAUAUAGAUGAAUAAUCUAUCUUUUGGAAGGGAAUGAUUGGAGUAGGAAAUUCUAGGUUGACAUGCUUUCUAAUAAUAUUCAUGGAUAAGUUUUUAUGCAUAACAUUGUUAAACUUGCAUUUUUUUACAUGAAUUUUCUACUGUAGUUUUUAAAGAGUAAUUUGUGUAUGUAAGACAUUUUGUGUCAUUCUCAUACCUUAUCUUAGUGACGGCGCUUUUUGUCUUUCGAGAGUUUUCUUUCUGCAAUUAAUCAUGAAAAUUUGAUAGAGUCAUAAUUCAUGACAUUUUCUUAGAUCAGAAACUUGAAAUGAGAAACCAAAAAAGAAAAAUUAACAGUCCUUGAAAAGAAAAUGAGAAGUGAAAUAGGGACACUAACUAUCCUAAAGUUUAGGAUAAUGAUACAAUGAUAAUGUUAGAAUACUUCAGCUAUACUAUCUUUUUCGUAUCGAUUGACCCACUAAACUUUUAAAGCUAAUUAAUUGAACCAUUCCGUGUAGUUAGUGGUUAAAAAAAAUGAAACUUUCAGAAUUAGUGGGGAACUUUUGUCACUUUGUUAAUGAAAAAUAGUAUGGCGGAUUAAAUGGGAGUUUAGUAAAAUUAAGUGAAUCUUGAUACAAUUUGUUGGAAAACUUUUUGGAAACUAAAGAAGAAUGGAAAAAAAGGAAUGUCUUAGAAAAUGUUUAACACAACUAAUUCUCACAUUUUCAAAUCUUUUGAGCUAGUAUUAGAAAUACUUUAGUUAGGUGACCAUAAGAUCUGACAUUCGACUAUCAAAUUCUUAAUUUUUUUCUUUCCCAUUGUAAGGCUGAAGUCUCCCAUUCAAAGGGAAAAAAACAGUACUCGUAACUUUUAAGCUUUCUUUAGUUGACAUGAUGUAUCGUUAUAAAAUAGUAACCCAAAAUUUCAGUAGCUAAAAAUAGCCAUGCAAUCACACACACAAGGCAUGUAAAAAAUCUUCAGUUCUUCGUUUAUUUAUUUACUUUUGCAAGAUGGCGCAGUAGCUAUUCCUUCAUGCGGUUGAAGUGCCUACAAUCAAUUGGAAGUUGCUGAAAAGUGAUAAAAUCUUCCUAAUAUAAUUUCCAUGAUUUUGCAUUUUAGCUUCAGUCGUAGACUAGGCAUCUUCUUUCAAAAUCAAGUCAUCGUUUGGCUUUUUCUUUUUAAGAUUCCAUCUUUUGCUUUGGUUUGCUCUCUCUUUUUUAAAGAUUAUGACCCCAAAGAGGAACGGGUCAUCAAAAAGGAACCAAAGUGAAGUAGGACCUUGCUAGGAAGUCAUGGUUUUGCUCUGUUGAUAAAAAAUUUGCUAUUUUAUAAAAGGAUCAUAAUUGUAUAAUUACCCUUGUAAAUUUGAAAAUCAAAGACACAAUAAUGUAAAGUCAAAUUUUUACUAUCUCCCUUCUCUGCACGCUUUUCAACCACAAACUAUUAGGACCAGGAUUCAUAAUGUUUCUGUCUUACCUUGAAACAUUCAAAAUUUUAAAAAUCUGCAUGAACAUCUAUCACAACUAAAAGAGGAUGGUACUGGUUAGUCAAAAAAGUAAAAAUCAAAUCGCAAGUAACUUAUCAGUUAUGACUAUACCUGGCAAUUGGGCGGGUUGGACGGAUUUUGGACGAGUUGAUAUUGGGUUUUUACUUAAAUGGAUUAUACCCAACCCGCCCAACUUUAAAUCGGGUUAGUUUUGGGUUGGGUCAUAUUGGGUCAUCUCAAACCCAAGACCCAAAUAUGACCCAAUAUAUUAAUUAAUAGAUUUUGAUACAUAAAUUCUCUCAAAUAUAUUUUUGCAUACAAAAAUUUUUUUUCACACACUAAAACAAUUUUGGUCCAAGUUGAAUAUAGCAUGAAAAAAUGUUAUACCAAUAUUAAACAAGAUCCAAUCAUGCCUUAAUUAAAUUGAAACUUGAUAAGAGAGAUACAAUUCUCAACCAAUUAGUUCAAAUAUCACUAUCCAAUUCAUUUGAGAUUUGUGAAUUGUGACUUUUGGGUUCCUUUUAUUCAUUAUUAAAUAACCUCACUUUGCACUUUUUACACAAUUAUUGUGGUUGAAUAUCAAUCUUGUCUUGUGAUAAACCUUCAUGUCAAGGGCCAAAAAAGGGGAAAAAAAAGACGAAGAAGAAAGAAAAUUGGACCCAUGAAUGAUCUAAUUGACAAAUUUUAAUUAAUAAUUGAGCAACUUAUGAAAGCAAUUAAAAAUUUGCUUGCAUAUUUUGCUAGAUUUUUUAGGAACUAGUAAAUGCUUAAAAACACGAGUUGCUAAUAGAAUCUCUCCGUCCAAAAGAUAACAAUGGAAAAAAAUAUGUAUAUGUACAUUAACAUGCAGUUGAACAGUAAUCUUCACAAUCCUAAAACCAAUUAGUAAAGGAACAAGAUGUGUAUGGACUUGCAAGUUUGCUAUCUUAAAGGGAAAAAAAAAAAAAAAAAAAAACAGCAAGCGCGAUGCAGUUGACAAGAAUGUGCCAAAAUGCUUAAAGUUAAGAAAACGGUGGUGGAUUGAAAAUUCCCGACGAGAGGCCUCCAUUGUUUUUUUAAGUUGGGUAAUGGGUACCCAACUUAAUUACCCAAACCGCCCAAAAUACAUGUGAGUUUUUAUUAUCCAACCUAAAAUUAACCCAACAUCCAAUUUACCCAACCCAGCCUCUUAAAUUAGUGGGUGGAUUGGGUGGAUUGUUGGAUUUUGGGUAUAAUUGCCACCUCUAGUUAUGACAUCCAAUUCUUUAGUUGGCCUGAUUUGAAAUUGUAAAUCAUCGUGGCACAUUAACAAAAAAUUACACAAAUUACAGUAGUUAAAACACACACACAAAAAGGCAU
rnacentral:lncRNA from 1 species